GAAUCUCUGAAAACUAGCUUCUCUCUCUCUCUCUCUCUCUCUCUCUCUCACACACACACACACACAGAGAGAGAGAGAGAGAGAGAGAGAGAGAGAGAGAGAGAGAGCUGUUUCAUUUCUCUU